CGUUGCGUUACUCUGCUUGCCUCCAGAUGAAGCGACGGUGAAAAGGGGAAAAAAAAAGCAGAGAGAAAAAGAAGCGCUCCGCUCGAGCCCGGCCGCGGACGAAGCGGAAGCCCCACUGUACGCCUGCGUUGGCGCUUAAGAUGUUGGAUUGUGUCUUUGUGGAUUAGUGGUCAUUCAGCUACAAGAGCGUUAGUGAGAUCAGACUCUGAUGUUGGGAUGUUGAGGAGACUCCAGAUUUGUGCAUUUAUCAGAUUAUUAAAUCAAAAUCAAGUAUCUUGCCUGAACACUCAGGAUAAAUAGUACAUGUUAAUAACUCCUCACGUUUACAAAAAUAUCUGUAAAAAAAGUUGCAAAAGUAAACACCCUAAAUAAAUAUUUACCCGUAACUGUAA